rnacentral:rRNA from 1 species
UACGUAGGGUGCAAGCGUUAAUCGGAAUUACUGGGCGUAAAGCGUGCGCAGGCGGUUUUGUAAGUCUGUCGUGAAAUCCCCGGGCUCAACCUGGGAAUUGCGAUGGAGACUGCAAGGCUAGAAUCUGGCAGAGGGGGUAGAAUUCCACGUGUGAGCAGUGAAAUGCGUAGAGAUGUGGAGGAACACCGAUGGCGAAGGCAGCCCCCUGGGUCAAGAUUGACGCUCCAUGCGACGAAAGCGUGGGGAGCAAACAAG